AGAGGAGUUACAGAGAGACAGAGGAAGUCACAGAGAAGGGGCUGAUAAUGACCACAUGAUUCUCUUAAUUGUCCCGGCCAGGCGUGGCAUCUCACUCCUGUCAUCCCAGUACUCCGGGAGGCUGAGGCAGGAGGCCUUAACUUCAGAUUGCUUGAGGCCAGGAGUUUGAGACCAGCCUGGGCAAUGUAGCGAGAACCUGUCUCUACAAAAAGCAAACAGUUCCACUGUAAAGGGAAGAGAAAAACAGGGCUGUGGCUAGAAAAAUAUAAACGAGGGUCUUGCCAUUCGUCCCAAGGUGGUCUCGAACUCCUGAGCUGAAGCAUUCCUCCCAUCUCCACCUCCCAAAGUGCUGGGAUGACAGGUGUGAGCCGCCACGCCCAGCCGCAGGGUGCAUUCUGAUGAUCCUUCGACUCGCCAAGCAGCCUCCUACCACAACCACCCAGAGGCCACGUGGCACAGUGGGGAAUGUCACAGCAAAACCCCAGCACCUGCAACCCUACUGCUCACCAUCAGCUCAUCAAGUUCAGAAGCAAAGCCAUGGAGAAGAGAGAGAAAAAAGAAAGAGGAGACAACAUUAGCUCAACUUGGCAAACGUUGAAAAGGAUGACGAAACGGGCUAUCCAGUUACUUGAAAUUUCCCAUUCCUCUGCCCGGCAGUUGGUUCUGGUAAAGUGUCCAAGGCUGCGGUUGGAACUAUCCUAGGAAUGCAGGCCAGAAACGCUUUCACAGCGACCCACGCAACAAGGAAGCAAAUAUCAGAAGGGACAGGGCUGGGAACCAGGAAACUGCAAAAAGGCGAAGGAGAGAGCCCAGCAAAGCUGGAACACAGCUUCUGUUGGAAACAGCUGCAAAUUUGUGGAAUCAAGGCAAAGCCAAUGCAGACACAGGAUUCAUCAGCAAACUCCUGGGCCAGGUCAGCCAAGCCUUCUUGGGCAAACGUCACCCCUGCCCUCCAGCCAAAUCAAAACCAUCCUUUCCGUGAGCAGCAUUUGAAAACAGAGCCUUGGGCUGGGCGCAGUGGCUCACGCCUGUAAUCCCAGCACUUUGGGAGGCUGAGGCGGGUGGAUCAUGAGGUCAAGAGAUUGAGACCAUCCUGGCCAACAUGGUGAAACCCCGUCUCUACUAAAAAAAAAAUACAAAAAUUAGCUAGGUGUGGUGGUGUGCCCCUGCAGUCCCAGCUACUCGGGAGGCUGAGGCAGGAGAAUUGCUUGAACCCAGGAGGCAGAGACUGCAGUGAGCCAAGAUUGCGCCACUGCACUCCAGCCUGGAGCCUGAGCAAGACUGUCUCAAAAAAAAAAAAGAAAGAAAAGAAAACAGACCCUGGGCCAGGCACAGUGGCUCAAUCCUGCAAUCCCAGCACUUUGGGAGGCUGAGGCAGGUGGAUCACCUGAGGUCAGGUGUUUGAGACCAGCCUGGCCAGCAAGGCCAAACCCCAUCUCUACUAAAAAUAUAAAACUUAGCAGGGCAUAGUGGCGGGCACCUGUAGUCCCAGCUACUUGGGAGGCUGAGGCAGGAGAAUUGCUUGAACUGGGGAGGUAGAGGCUGCAGUUAGCCGAGAUGGCGCCAUUACACUCCAGCCUGGGUGACAGAGUGAGACUCCAUCUCAAAAAUGAAAAAAGAGCCUUAAAUGUGCUCACACCCUUCCGAACCCACAAUGACCAAAGCCUGCGAUCUAUCCUAAGAGCAGGACUCCCCCUGCUGCCAUCUUCAAGGUCACAGCAGGAUUUGCACCAGAGGUUACAGAGCACGGGCCCUGGCUCCAGAGCCUGAGUGUUUGGUCUGUUCCAGCCACUUACUAGUGGGUGACCCUGGUCACGCCUCUCACUUCUCUUGGUUUCCUCAGCUGCAAAAUGCAGGUAACAGACCCUAUACCUCACUGAACAGUUGUGCAGAUGAGUUACACAGAUCCCUCAGCACAAAGCCUGGCUAGGAUUAGGUCUGACAUAAGGGUUAACUGCUUUCUGCUAAGGAGCUGACACAGAGUGUAGGUCUCAUUCUGUCACUCAGGCUGGAGUGCAGUGGCCAAAUCAUGGCUCACUACACCCUCCACCUCCCAGGCUCAAGCGAUCCUCCUACCUGAGCCUCCCAAAGUGCUGGGAUUACAGGUGUGAGCCACCACACCUAGCUUAGCUGCCACUAUUAUUAUUAUCACCAUUACUUUGAGACAGAGUCUUGCCCUGUCGCCCAGGCUGGAGUGCAGUGGGGCAAUCUCAGCUCACUGCAGCUUCAUCCUCCCAGCUCACAGGAUCCUCCCACCUCAGCCUCUGAGUAGCUGGACUACAGUCACACACCACUAUGCCUGGCUAAUUUUCUGAUGUUCUAUUGAGACAGGGUCUCACUACGUGUCCCCAGCUAGUCUCAAACUCCCAAGCUCAAGCGUCUCUCCCAUCUCAGCCUCCUAGAGUUCUGGGAUUACAGGCGUGAGUCACCACACCUAGCGUAGCUGCUAUUACUAUUACUAUCAUUGCUUUUGUUAUCCCCGCCCCCUCUGUGCUUUUGUUUGUACAGACAGGGUCUAUUCUGUUGUUCAGCCUGGAGUGCAGCAGCAUGACCACAGCUCACUAUUACCUUGAACUCCUGGGUCAAGCCAUUCUCCCCCCUCCAAAAGUGCUGUGUGACCGGUACAAGCCACCAUGCCCAGCCCCCAUGCCAUCUUCUUUUAUCUUUUUUUCUUGAGACAGAGUCUUACUAUUGUCCCCCACGCUGGAGUGCAAUGACACAAUCUCGGCUCACUGCAACCUCCACCUCCUGGCUUCAAGGGAUCUCCUGUCUCAGCCUCCUGAGUAGCCGGGACUGCAGGUGCCCACCAGCAUGCCUGGCUAAUGUUUUUUAUUUUUAGUAGACAUGGGGUUUGACCACUUUGACCAGGCUGGUCUCAAAUGCCUGACCUCAGGAGAUCCACCCACUUUGGCCUCCCUAAGUGCUGGGGUUACAGGUGUGAGCCAUUGCACCAAGCCAGAACAGUGAAUUUUCUAACUGAUGUACAGAUGACCUAGCUGAGCUUUGCAACCAACAGAGCUGAUCAGUUGUGAUUUACAACACUCGAAUGAAAGUGCCACAGGGAAAUGAAGGUGGUGAGACACCUUGUCUACCUUACCAUUUAGAAGCGGAAAACAGUGAGAAUGGUAAACUCUAAGUUACAAAUAUUUGGCCACAAUAUAAAAAUGUGAGGCUGCAACCGCAUAUGGCAGAUCAGGCCACCUGCCAGGAGAAACGAGCAGAAAAAGGGCCGGGAGGAGGACUAGCUGCUUUCUAGUUUACCAGUGCUGCAGGGAAGGGCUCAGAAUGUUAAUCAAACACACUCGGAACUAUCUCACACACCUGCUCUCCCAGAGCAUUCGUUCCAGCUGGGAAAGCUAUAAGAAUCGGCAGCUCAGGGUUGAGUAGGGUCCUCACUGGUCAGUGAAAUCUUCAAUCAGUACUCGUGUUUGCUGGAGGGCAGUAUGGGAUAAAGAAAAUGAUGGAGAACGCGGUUCUGGAGCCAGACUGCCUGAAUUCAAACCCAGCUCCGCUAUAAACCACAGGGUGAACUCUAUCUAGCAUGUCACAUCCUCUCUGAGUAUCAGUUUCCUCAAGAGUAAAAUGAUGAUAAUAACGACACUGCUUCAUACUCUGCCGUGGGAACUGGAUUGAUGUGUGUGCUGGGCUGACACCACUGCUUGGUACACAGCGAGGGUUCCGGCCAGGUGUGACAGCUCACGCCUGCAAUCCCAGCACUUUGGGAGGCCGAGGUGGGAGGAUCACCUGAGGUCAGGAGUUCAAGACCAGCCUGACCAACACAGAGAAACCCCAUCUCUACUAAAAAUACAAAAAUUAGCCAGAUGUGGUGGCUUGUGCUGUAAUCCCAGCUACUCUGGAGGCUGAGACAGGAGAGUCGCUUGAACCCGGGAGGCGGAGGUCGCAGUGAGCCGAGAUCGCGCCUGCCUGAGCGACAAAGCUAGACUCUGUCUCAAAAAAGGAGAGAAAGAAAGAAAGAAAAGAAAGGAAAGCAAGCAAGCUGCCCCUUCAGACUGAAUUCAGUCAACAACACAUUAGUGAGAUUAAAAAGUAGCAGCCACAAAGACAAACGCAUCCGUGUUUUCUUCCCACCCUUUCAAAAGUGCCGAACGCAGAACAUUUAAAUUCUCUGGUCUGCUGCCAUGCCACCAGUGUGGGGAGUCCAGGACCCAACACAGGGAACCCCACCUCGUUUGUGACAGCGAUUCCAGGGAUUCACAGACUGUGCCAUUGGACUUCCUGCCCUAAUGGCCCCGCCAGCCAGGAGAUGAGCAGUUAGCGGGGGCAUACAUGGCAUGCGGCUGCCAGGCUGUGUGACAGCACAGACAGAGGAAAGGCUGCAUCCCCACGCGGCGGCCCUUGCAGGCUGACAGAAGGGAUUUCCUAAAGCCCCAUCUUGUGUGAAAGCUCCGCUGAGCACAGUGGUUUGCAACGGCACAUGAUGGCUGGUGAUCAUAGCCCAUAUGCUCCACGGAGAGAGAUCUAAGCCCACGGCCGGGAGUUUGCACAGGGCAGGGAACAAGGAGCCAGUGUCCGUCUGGAGUGGGAGCACCCCCGUCCCAGCGGCAACCACUUCUAGGGGGACAGGGUUUCUGUGGCUCACAGUGUCCUGGGUCUCUUGCUGACAUCACCAGGAAAGAGCUCAGAUGCGCACACUCUGAGCAGCGCCUUUUGAGGUGACUACAGGGGCCUUGAUUGGCAGCAGACUUUGGGGGAUGCGUUGUCACACCAGUUCCACCCAGAAUGUCACGCUCGUUAACGAAGAGACACAAACCUGACUGCUUUCACUCCAGAUCUUCCCAGAAGCCAUCAGGUUAAAAAGAAAAAGGAAGAACAGAAGCCUAGGAAUAAGGACUCUGUGGAGGGAAAAGUGCCGUUCCCUGUAGCUUCGGGGAAUCUGCUGAAAAAUAUGCCUGUCAAGGACGUGAUCUCUCCGGCCCUGGCCUUCCUUAGCUGAAAGCAGGGAGAUGUAACCAGCUCACCCCGAUCCCAACUCUCACAUCCUUUGUGGCUCAGUACAAGCCGUGAGGUGAUCGCGUGUGACAGCCAAUGAAAGGACUCGGCAAAAAAUGCAAAAAUAUGGUAGAUUUCCAAGUACAAGAUUUCUUUCUUUUUUUUUUGAAACAGAGUAUCAUUCUGUCACCCAGGCUGGGGUGCAGUGGUGUGAUCUCGGCUCACUGCAACCUCCACCUCCCAGGUUCAAGCAAUUCUUCUGCCUCAGCCUCCCUAGUAGCUGGGACUACAGGCCCACACCACCACGCCCAGCUGAUUUUUGGAUUUUUAGUAGAGACGGGGUUUCACCAUGUUGGCCAGGAUGGUCUCAAACUUCUGACCUCAGGCGAUCUGCGCGCCUUGGCCUCCCAAAGUGCUGGGAUUACAGGCAUGAGCCACUGUGCCUGGCCUACUUUUUAAAAUUAAAACAAAAAUCCAUGCCAAGACGCCCUCUUCAGCUGAAAACAGACCUGCCCCCGGGAGACAGGGUCAGUGCAGGUGCCCGAGGAUAGGACCCCAGGGCCCCGGGCUCUGUUUUCCACUAACUUCCAACACAGCACCCAAUGGACAUGUCCAGUGUGGAUUCAUCGCAUGUGACAGAACUCCUGGGAGCAGCAGUCGCAGGAGAAAGGUCGGUUCAGGAGCUAUGGGAAGACAGGAGAUGAUCCACCAGGCUGAGAGCAAAAGAGAACUCCACCUCCCAGAAUCCCAGCGCCCUCCUCCUACUACAGACUCACAUCCAGAGACCACCUCACCUCUCCCUCAGUAGACAAGGCCUCCAGGGCCUAAAUCUGAGGCCACUUUGAUCGUCACUGCCUUACACGUGGGAGACACUCAGUAAAUGAGGAUGAUGGUGAUGACGCUCAGGCCAAUGAAGGGUGGUCAAUGAGCUCCCACAUCUGACCUGGAGCCACAGCGUGAGCCACAGCAUGAGCCACAGCGUGGGCCACAGAAUGAGCCACAGCAGGCCAGCAUUCCGUCUUCACGCAUUCAUCACGGCUCCCAGCAGCUAAUUGGUAACCUGCUAUGCAGAAAAUAAACCAGGCAAACAGGCCAAGCGUGGUGGCUCACACCUGUCAUUCCAGCACUUUGGGAGGCUGAGGCAGGCGGAUCACCUGAGGUCAGAAGUUCGAGAUGAGAGUGGCCAACAUGGCAAAACCUCAUCUCUACUAAAAAUACAAAAAUUAGCCACUGCACUCCAGCCUGGGGGAAAGAGUGAGACUCCAUCUCAAAAAUAAAUAUAUAAUAAAUAUAUUGGCCGGGCACAGUGGCUUACGCCUGUAAUCCUAGCACUUUGGAGGCAGAUCAUGAGGUCAAGAAAACUGAGACCAUCCCGGUCAACAUGGUGAAAUCCCAUCUCUACUAAAAAUACAAAAAGUUAGCUAGGCAUGGUGGUAGGUGCCUGUAGUCCCAGCUACUUGGGAGGCUGAGGCAGGAGAAUCACUUGAACCCAGGAGGCGGACAUUGCAGUGAGCUGAGAUUGUGCCACUACACUCCAGCCUGGGUGACAACAGCAAAACGCCGCCUCAAAAAACAAAACAAAAACAAAUAAUAAUAUUUUUUAACAUUAGGCAAAUAGCCUCAAAACUUUCUGCAGCUUCUAGCUUAGCAAUGUGACCAUAUAGCGCCUACAGCACCAUUUAAAUGCUCUUAUAAAUUACAAGUCAGCAGGGUGAGCCUGUCCACGUCCGCUCUGCAAAUGAAAAUAAGAGCAGGAAGUGUGGCCUGUGAGAACAGCGGAGAUGUCUAUCAGUCCAGCAUCGUCUGCACCUGUCCCACUGCGGAGCCGUGAGCACUUGGUGCAGCCCCGUGAGAACAACGGAGGUGCUUACGGUUUCAUGCGCCUGUCCCACCAGAGCCAGGAGUCCUCAGAGCAGCCUCCUUUUCAAUUUCCUAUUUGAUUGUUACUCCAUCUGGGAUUUUUUUUCCUUCUUGGCUGCAUAGAAAGCUGUUUCUUGGCAGAACUUUCUGAGUGCCCGGUCAUAAACCCCUCGUUCCCACUUUCCUGUGCCAGGAAGUCGCCACGGAGCCCCAGCCCUAGGACACAGAGAGGAAAGGAAACAUUUACAAUGAUGGGAGAAAUUCCCAGGCUGGAAAAAGAGAUCAGAGGAAGAAGUCAGAAGGGACCGUUCUGUCCAAAGCCUGGCACGUGAAGCUCUCUCCCUACAUCGGACUGGACAGGUCCACAGUGGCGACAACGUCACCUCACUGGGAAUCUGGCAAACCCCAUGCGUCCUCAGCUCUGCAUGCAACCUCAGCCCACUGUGGUGGACCAGCCAUGUCCAUCGCAAAAGGAAUCGUGUCCUGUACUAAGAAACUGUGGCCAAUGUGUGCCAAGAUGCCUUUAUACAGAAACGGACUCUGGCUGGCCUUCUUCCCUCCACCAGCUCCUGGAAUGAAAGGGUUCCGUUGCACAGUGAAAUCAGUUACAGCAGGAGAAAGAGAGAGGGAGGUAAAUUGUUUGGAAAGCAGAAGAGAGGACGGAAAACAUGAAAUUUAAGACAGAUGUGUGAGAGCCACAAACAUAUGUCUUUAAACUUAUGCAUCCAAGUGAUUCAUGUAGAGUAAGGAAAAAAGAGCUACAAGCCCAAUAUAGAAAUAAAGACAGGAGUAAAUACAGAACAAGGUAUUAUGUUCCCUGCCCUUCCAGACCAGCAUCAAUUCCAGUCUCUCUUUCUGCUACAUAAAGUUGGUAUAAAGCGGGGCGGGAGAAGGAUGGAAGAUGAAACACUAUAAAUUAAGCAGAGGUUCCCUGUGGUCCCUGUCACCCUUGGGAGGCUGCCAGCCACUGACAAUUCAUUUCCAAUUAUUGAAUGUUGAUUUCGUUUUUUCUUUCUCUUUUUUUUUUUUUGGAGACAGAGUCUCCAAUCACUCCAAGAUUGCAGUGGUGCAAUCUCAGCUCACUGCAACCUCUGUCACCUGGGUUCAAAUGAUUCUCCUGCCUCAGCCUCCCAAGUAGCUUCGAUUACAGGCAUGUGCCACCACACUCAGCUAAUUUUUGUAUUUUUAGUAGAGACGGGGUUUCAUGAUGUUGGCCUGGCUGGUCUCGAACUCCUGACCUCAGGUGAUCCACCCGCCUUGGCAUCCCAAAGUGCUGGGAUGACAAGUGUGAGCCCCCAUGGCCAGCCAAUUUCUCAUCUCUAAAAGGUACUGCUGCAGCUUAACAUGAGCAGGAUUUAAAAAUUAGUGGCAUUUGCCAGGUUACUGCCUGGCCAUUAACAAAAAACAAAGCAGGAAAUGUAGAUGGGCGUUUCCAUUAAACACAAAAGCCCAAAGCUGUGGCCGGAAAGCCGUUUUUACAAUGCGGUGUUAGUGUGUGUCGUUUUACUUCCAAACAGCCAACUGGAAGGGGCCGUGGCAGGAUUGGUUCCAAAUGCCUCCUGCUGAGAGAAAAACACAGGCGGUCUG